AGCUCUGAGGUGUUUGACAUAUAAGAUUGCAAAUCUUAAGGCGCAGGCUAAUCUCCUGCCGGGGCUU
rnacentral:tRNA from 1 species